CAGUAGCCACGGUAAUACGAAGGGGGCUAGCGUUGUUCGGAAUUACUGGGCGUAAAGCGCACGUAGGCGGAUAUUUAAGUCAGGGGUGAAAUCCCGCAGCUCAACUGCGGAACUGCCUUUGAUACUGGGUAUCUUGAGUAUGGAAGAGGUUAGUGGAAUUGCGAGUGUAGAGGUGAAAUUCGUAGAUAUUCGCAGGAACACCAGUGGCGAAGGCGGCUCACUGGCUCAUACUGGACGCUGAGGUGCGAAAGCGUGGGGAGCAAACAGGAUUAGAUACCCGAGUAGUCCCUGUCUCUUAUAC
rnacentral:rRNA from 1 species